AUGUCAUGAACCAAUCUAACGUUUCAAAUAAAGAACCGAUGAGAUUUUGCAAAUUUUAUGCGUUUUUUUUUAAAAAAAAGUUAUCAAGCUCUUAAAAAAUCACCCUUUAUUAUUAACAAAAAGCUUGACUAUGUCUCUAAAUUUAUCCCAUCAGAGUUUGGCCGCAUAUCUAGAAGUUUAGAUGAGAUUCAUAAUUGGAAAUCGACUGAGUUUAGGCAGUUUUUGCUUUAUUCUGGUAUAUUCGUUCUUAAAGAUUGUAUCAGUACCGAUCAAUACUAUCACUUCCUGCUGCUACAUAGUAGUAUUCGACUUUUGUCAAAUGAAAAAUCGCACCGAAUUGAAGCCGAUAUUGCCCAACAAAUGCUAACAGAUUUCGUUAAUAUUUUUGGAAUUUUAUAUGGUGAUGAAUUGGUUAGCUUUAAUAUUCAUGGACUACUUCACUUGGCAGAUUGCGUAAAACAGUUUGGACCAUUAGAUUCUUUUUCAGCGUAUCGUUUCGAAAACUAUAUGCAGAAUAUAAAAAAAAUUGUAAAUAAACCCAAUAAAAUUCUACAGCAAAUAUAUCUUAGACUUGAUGAAAAACAGGGUAUUGAAUCAAAUUCAGAGAAUGUGCCAAAAUUUGCAUCAUUUGAUUUAAAUCCCAACAAGCAUAAAGAUAGUUUUUGUUUUAGUGAGUUGACAGGACCAAUAAAGGUAUUUAAUGUCAUCAAGUCUCAACAGUUGUAUGAAAUUGUCUGCAAAGUUUUCAGAAAGACUGAAAACUACUUUAAUGAACCUGUAGAAUCGUAAAGUGGCCUAGGGAUUGUAGUCGUAAGUGAGUUAGAUGAAGAAAUGGUAACAGUUCCUAUCGAAGAGAAAUAUUUGCUAAUACCACUUUUACACCAUCUUUUUAACACAUUUUCCCAUUAACCACUGAUUUGCACAUUCCACUUUCAAUUCCACUACUUUCAAAUUUAAUAUGCAAUUUUGGUUUUACUAAUAUAACCAAAACUGUAUAUAAAUGCAAUAUAAUAAAAAACAUAAUAACAAAUAUAAAACAUCAUAAAAAAUAUACAGUAUUGUUCAUAUGUUAAGCAACAAACUCCAAUUGCAAUAUGUUGAACGACAUUUUAACAAUACUGUAUAUUUUUAUGAUGUUAACCUAAUAUAAUUAAUAAAAUAUAAUAUAAUAAUAAUAUAAUUAUUAUAUAUACAAAUGAGUAACAUAUUCGAGACGCAAGAUGAAGGUGGUAAGUUAAAAGGAAAAUACUCAUCAAAAAAAUAUUGGCAACCCUUCUCGUGUUCAGUUGUGCUUUGUUUCGCGCUCUGGCGAAUUUGUUUAAUUUUAUUUAAAACUUUAUUUGAAAGUGUCUGGAUUAAGUGAUCUUUUACGAUAAGUAUCAGUGUUAUAUUGUGCUGUUGAAUCAAUUGAUAUUUAGUAAUUGUGUGUUGGCUAAUUUUAAUUUAUUCCGGCGAGUCAUUUUAAAUUUGUUGUUGUGCUACAUUUUAAGUAGUGCAAUUGUUAGUGUUAAUUUACUUUGCUUACUUAAAUUUCUUUCUUGUUUUUAUUCGUUUCCAUCUUUGUCCACAGCUGUUCGCGAGUUUCUUACUUUUCGCGUAUUACAGUGCAUCUCAAACUGCUCGCUACAUUGGUUGUUAUCUUUGAUAACCAUCAAUUUUUAUUGCAUUCACUUGUCAUAAAUGUUUUUGUCAUUGCUCGUUGUUCAUUUAUUAUUUACCAUUUUUAUAUUUCUAUUUAAUAUUGUUUUUUUCUUUUUUUGUUUUUUUUACACAUUAUGACUUGUAACUUCCGAACUGCUCUGUAAAAGGCGAGUCGGAACGUUUUGUUUCUUGCUGGCUUUGUGAUGGGCUUGCCCAUCUUAAAUGUGCUGGACUGACAGGUAGGAUAUUGGAUUCAAUUCUUGACAGUAAGGGAUUGCGCUGGUCUUGCUUAAAAUGCAGACCAACUGAAAUUGAAUUGUUUAAGGUCUUUAAGCAAGCGCGCAAUGGUUUCAAGGAGAUUGGUCAUAAGCUUGAAACCCUUACUGAAAAAUUUAGGCAUUAUGAAAUGCUUUUUCAAUCAUUUAAAUCCCUAAAUGUUCAGGAAGAGAAUCAAAAACCUUCAUCAAAACGUAAACGUCCGUCUGAUGAAGAUACCACUGUACCUUCCUUAAAACGAAUGCCCCCACCCACUAUUGACCUUAUUAAUCUGUCAUCCCCUUGUCCUCAAGGUGAGAAAGUUCUGUCUGCUCAGGACACAGUGAAAACUGUUACUGAACACAGUAAGCGGAAAACUUCCCAAGAUCCGCCUGCAAAUACGUCCAAAUCAGCUAAUAAAAACUUAGUGGUAAUACCGCAGAAAAAAGCAAUAUUUGUCUCGAGACUUGCUGCGGAUACCACAGUCGACGAUAUAAAAAAUUACAUCUCGUCGAAAUUAAAAACGGAAGAUACGGACAUCCGGAAAUUUAAUUUCAAAUACAACAGAGAUAUUUCGUCAUCAACGUAUCCGCAGACAGUUUUCAAUCGAUACUUGAUAACUCAUUCUGGCCAUCGCGAAUUCGAGCACAAACGUGAUAAGCCCCCUGUAGUUAUCACCAAAUUGCUAAGAAAUCCCAGUAUUACAAAAAACUAUUUACAAAAAUUCGCUGAUUGUUUAUUAUCAAAAUGUUAGAGGUCUUAAUACAAAAUUUGCCGAUUUGUAUUUAAACAGCAUUCAUUGUAACCUUAAAAUCAUUGCUUUCACGGAAACUUGGCUAAAGCCUCACAUUUUUGAUAAUGAAAUAUUCAUCAGCGAAUUCCAAAUCUUUAGAUAUGACCGGCUGGACAGAAAAGGAGGUGGUGUCUUGUUUGCUGUUCAUUCUUCAAUUCCAUCUGAAGAAGUCGACGUUUCGCAUGCGGACUUCAUAGAAUUUAAGUGCAUUCGUAUUUGCGCUAAUAGUGGCCAUAUCUACUUAACUUUAUCUUACAUACCGCCUCACUCGGACAUAUCUGUAUAUUUGCAGCAUGCUUCAUUAAUAAAUAAGGUUUCCUCAAUAGCUAAUAAUACUGAUUCCAUGAUUGUUUUGGGAGAUUUCAAUUUAUCGUGCGUAUCAUGGAAAUCUAUUGAUGAUUACACCAUUCCUAUUAGUACUCGCUUAUGUUUUAACGAGUUCUUAGAUGAAAUGUCGGAGUUGGGUCUUAACCAAAUUAAUUUAAUUUCAAACGAGUUUGGUAAGUUCUUAGAUCUAGUUUAAGUUGAUAACGCUUCAAUGCUCUCCGUUGUCCGAUGUCCGAUGUGAUCCUUUGGUUCGCCCAGAGGACCAGUAUCAUCCUGCUUUGAAAAUUGACAUCGAAAUCUUAGCUAACUUUGCUCAUAAUAAUACACAAGACCUUUGUUUUCGGUUCAACUUUGCGAAAGCUAAUUUUAAGAAGAUUAAUUACGAACUUUCUAAAGUAGCUUGGCCAGAUUACAGUGGCAAUAUUGCAUUUAGUGCUUCCCACUUUAAUGAAACUAUUUUAAACUUAUUUGAAAAAUAUGUUCCGAAGUGCGUUGUUACUCAAAAAAGGAGUUCUAAUUUAUGGUUUUCGAAAGAAUUAUGUAAAUUAAAAAAUAGAAAAUCUCGUGCUUUUAAACUUUUUAAAAAAACUGGUUUAGUUGCUGACUAUUCAAAAUAUUCUAAAUUGCGUCGACAAUUUGCUGAACUUAACAAAAUAUGUUAUAAUAAUUAUAUAAAUAAAGCAAAAAAUAAUAUUAUACGUAAUCCAAAAUUGUUCUAUGGUUUCGUCAACUCCAAACGCACGAUUUCUAACUUUCCGUCCGCUAUGAAAUAUAAGUCUAGUAUGUCUAGUGACAAUCACACCAUUUCUAAUAUGUUCGCUGAAUUCUUUAAGUCCAAUUACUAUCCAAAAUCUCCAAAAAAUGUUCCGCAUCAGCACAAGUUAUGUUCGAGUUUUGUCAUUAAUGCGCCUAACAUUUCCGAAGAAGACCUCUUAUAUCAGUUGAACAUGUUAGAACAAUCAUACAAUUAUGGCCCAGAUAUGAUUCCAUCAUGCUCUCAUGCCCUCAUGCCCUCAUAUAUACCAACCCCUAACAAAACUAUUUAACUCAUCUCUUAUGCAAGGCUUAUUUCCACCCAUAUGGAAAAAGUCAUUUAUAAUUCCUUUACAUAAGAGUGGAUUUAGGUCAUCUAUUGAAAACUAUAGGGGAAUAGCAAAGUUGUCUGCAAUACCUAAACUUUUUGAAGCAAUUAUAACAGACGACAUAACCUUCCGGAUCUCUCCACUAAUUUCUUGUUCUCAGCACGGUUUUCGUAAAGGGAAAUCUACAAUAACUAACUUGCUUAAAUUUGUAUCACAUGUAUCAGCUGGCUUUAGGGAGAAUAAGAAUACUGAUGUUAUUUACACAGAUUUCAGUAAAGCUUUUGAUAAAGUAAACCAUUCAAUUCUUUUGAAUAAACUUGACCUUCUUGGUUUUCAACCAAUAUUUCUAAAAUGGGUUGCUUCUUAUCUUAGCAAUAGAAUUUAACAAGUCUUAUUUAACGAUACUUUUUCUGACAUAAUCAAUGUUCCUUCAGGCGUUCCACAAGGUAGCUAUCUUGGUCCAAUUCUGUUCUUGUUAUUUAUUAAUGACAUAUCAUCUGUUGUUAAGUUUUCAAAAGUCUUAUUAUAUGCUGACGAUGUAAAACUUUUUAAAACGUAACUUCAAACAACGAAAGAUGUUAGUUGCAAACAGACUUAAACAACCUAGUUUCUUGGUGUGAUAGAAAUGACUUGCCAUUGAACCUUAAAAAAUGUAAAACAAUGUGCUUUUCACGUAGAUCUGUAGACCCAACUUCAUACACAAUACAAAACUUUAGGUUGUCGCAAGUAUGCAGUUUUGUUGAUCUGGGAGUAACUAUGGACCCCAAACUCAAUUUUAAUCUUCACGUAUCUUCCACGGUUUUUAAAGCUAAAGGCGCUCUUAGUUUUGUUAAACGUUGGUCUAAAGAAUUUAUAGAUCCGCUUACCACAAAAAUUCUUUUUACAUCUCCGGUGAGGCCUAUAUUAGAGUGUGCUUCUAUGGUAUGGAACCCUAGUUACCAAGUCCAUUCGGAUAAGUUAGAGUCCGUUAAAAAACAAUUCUUACUUUUUGCCUUAAAUCAUUUGCAUUAGGAUUCCAGUUUAAAUCUUCCCCCUUACACUAACCGUUUAAAACUUAUAAAUCUCCCGACACUCGCUAGUCGUAGGGAGAUGCUUGGUAUAAUAUUUCUUGUAAAACUCAUGAAUGGGUCAGUCUGUAGCCCAUCUCUCUUAUCUGAUAUUAAUUUUAACGUCCCCGCUCGCUCUACCAGGCAGUAUAGACCCUUACUUUUAAAAUUUUCUAGAACAAAUUUUGAGCUAAACGAACCAUUCCGCCGUAUAUGUCAUGAUUUCAAUUUUUAUUCCAGCACAUUUGAUUUAACAGACUCACUUUUUACAAUUAAAAAAAUUAUUUUAUCUACUCUUAACAAGCAAAAUUAUAAACUUUAAUUUAAUUCUUAAUUUUGGCUGUUGAAAUUUUUGUUUCUGUAGCUGAGCAGCUUAAGAUCGCAACGCUUAAAACUCUUUUGCCUUUUAUGACUCGGCUAAUUCCGCUCGUUCGCGGAUUGCGCCCCUCGCGUCGGUUGGGCGGGAGGAGGGUAACCGUUGGGUAUUAUUAUAAGUAUAAAUAUAUUAAAAAUUAUUAAUUUUUUUGUAGAGAUUCCAAUCGUUGAGAGGAUUGAGCGGCGCCAAUAUUUAGUGGGAAAAUCAAGAACACAACAAAACUCAGGUCAUUUUUAACAUAAAGCUUCUAAUAACAUAUACUAUAUAUUAACUUUUUAAAUUUAAGAUAUUCUUGAAGCGUUAAAAGGCAUCAUUGCGGGUCAAAAGAAUAUACAAGAAAGGCUAGACAAAUUGGAGGAAAACGUAUGUAUAACUUUGCAGAACCAAAAAAACGCUUAGUGAAGGCCAAUCGUCACUGGUUCACAACCAAACUGCUAUAUUUGAAAAACUGAAUGAGAUGGAGUCGAAAGUAAUUGUUUUACAAUAUUGCAUAUUGUCGAAAAGGCUAAGGUUUUGGCGCAAAAUAAGUCAAUCAGAGAAUGCAAAGUUCUCUUCAAACGAGUGGAGCAGUCAGUGUGCCGCAUGACCGGCGAAGUGAUUGACAAAGAGCUGGAUGACGUCGCUAGCACUUUUCCGAUGGAGUCGCAAGCAACAGUUGCGGAAGUGGAAGAUAGGCUGCAAAGCCAAGACUAUGCCCAAACAAUGACUACAUUCCUUCACAAACUUAAAACUUAACGCCAGUGAUAAUGUGGCUGACGUAAUACCUAAGGUUUUUUCAGAUGAGCUCUUGGAAGGAUGCAAUUGGGAUGGCAGGUGGAGCAAGAAAUCCCUAUGCAAGUUGGCGCUGGUUGAUACCACUUUAAGAAGUGUGUUUCAACAACAAGGGUGUAGGAGUUUCGAGCAAAAUAUAAAGCGAUCAAUACUCCUCAGCCAUCACAGGUUAAAGCAGCGCACUUAUUUAAAAAAAAAAGGAAACAAUAAUUAAAUUUAAAGUACGAUCAAUUAAAACCAAAAAAUGAAGCUUUGGAGUGACCAGUGUAGCUAUAUGUUGUUCAGGUUGUUAAACCUAGUAUGUAAGAAAGAAAUGCAAUAUCACAUGUAUACAAAAGUU